rnacentral:rRNA from 3 species
AGACCCGAAACCCGGUGAUCUAGCCAUGGGCAGGUUGAAGGUUGGGUAACACUAACUGGAGGACCGAACCGACUAAUGUUGAAAAAUUAGCGGAUGACCUGUGGCUGGGGGUGAAAGGCCAAUCAAACCGGGAGAUAGCUGGUUCUCCCCGAAAGCUAUUUAGGUAGCGCCUCGUGAAUUCAUCUCCGGGGGUAGAGCACUGUUUCGGCUAGGGGGCCAUCCCGGCUUACCAACCCGAUGCAAACUGCGAAUACCGGAGAAUGUUAUCACGGGAGACACACGGCGGGUGCUAACGUCCGUCGUGAAGAGGGAAACAACCCAGACCGCCAGCUAAGGUCCCAAAGUCAUGGUUAAGUGGGAAACGAUGUGGGAAGGCCCAGACAGCCAGGAUGUUGGCUUAGAAGCAGCCAUCAUUUAAAGAAAGCGUAAUAGCUCACUGGUCGAGUCGGCCUGCGCGGAAGAUGUA